UAAAGUCCAAGGCCGUCAACAUAGACAUGCACUGCAUCCCUAAACUGCAUCUUCCAAGGCAGUAUCAGCAACUCUACCGUUGGAAGGAUAAACCAACUUUCAGCAUUUACAUAACAUUUGAAGCCAAUGCUGGCAUAAACCGAGCCAGUGAACAAUGAAGAAAACCUGUUAGGAAAGAAAAUGAUGAAGAAACGCCUUUGGGAAUUUUGGAUUCUUUUCCUACCAAACCCAUUUGAUAUGGACAUGGCCAAGCUUAAAGAUGGACUUGAUGGAGAGGAUAACAAGAAAACCAAAGAUAAAGCUAAGGAUCCAUUGAGCAUACUACAAGGUCCAAUUACAAGGUCCAAGAAGCUAUAAGAAGCCUUAAUUGGCUAUAUGCAAGAUUGGGCUAGUCAAGGAAGCUCAAUUGGUCAUGCUAGGAUAGGCCCAAGUAAAGACACAAUUGAAUGGGCUUUAUUUAAUAUUUUGCAAGUCCAAGUACAUGAAGACUAAUGUGGGCUAAUAUUUGGGCUGAAAUCUCUUAUUUAAGUUCAGAACAAUGUUAUUUCCUAUUUUUCUUAUGUGGCGGCUAGGUUUAAUAGUUUUACUAGAGUUUCUUAUGUUAGGUGGCUAUAAAAAUGCCCCUUAAGGUGUGUUUUAGGGAUUCGAAUUUUGAUUAAAUUAUAGUAGUUGUUUCCUUUGCAUAUUUGCUUGAAUUCUUAUUGAAUACAUAAACCACUUAUCAAUGAAUUGAUCUAUCCUUGUGGCGUGUUAAGGUUUAAAGAACUUAGUUUUCUUUAGGUUCUGAUCUUGAUCAACUAUACCUUGCAAUCUGAUUUAAGCGGUUCUUGGGUUUUGAAACUCAAUUUGUUCUUGGGUUUCUAAGAUAGUAAUUCACGGGUUCAUAAUCAUUAGGGUUCGUGGUUCUAAUCCUUUGAGGUUCUUAACAUUUGGUAUCAGAGCUUUGGCUCUUAAAUCAGGUUAUUUAUCCAUUUUCUUUAAGUUAUUGUUUGUUCUCCUUGAGUUCUUGAUAUUGUUCUUGAAGUAUUCUUGGUAUUCUUGAAAUCUAUAUUGUUUAGUUCUUGAUUCUUGUAGUUUUGAUUCUGAUUCAAAAAAAAAAAAAAUAGGUCUCAUUGGUUUGAUUGUCUUCGUUAGUGGAAAAACGUGUUUGGUGUUGAAAUCAUUGUUCUUGGUGUGUUUAUAUAGAUAUUAGGAUUGUUAAAAGGUUCAUAUUACAGCUGGUCUUAAAAGUUUCCUAAAAUUAAGAGGAAAUUAGGGAGAUUUUCACAAUCCUACACAAAUAAGGAUUAGGUGGCUGUUUGGGAAGAUUCAAAAGAACAUUAAAUUCCAAUGACCUGAGCCCUAUACAUACCAUCUUAUUUGAAUUAAUUCAGCUCUAAAUUCGUUUUUGUCCUUCAUUUAUUCUUUUCUUUAUGUGUCUUUUGGGCAGAUUUGACACAUUUAAAGCAUAAAGAGGUAACCUUCUUUCUUGAUCAACCUUCCUUGUGAUUUUUGCUUCCUAAAUCUGUUCCUUACAUGUCUUAUACAUCAAAUUGAAGUUUUAAUUCGUUCUUGAGCUUUAAAAUCUUGUUUCCAAUGCUGUUUGGUUAGAAAUUUCCAUUCGAGUUGAAACUUGGUUCUUGAACUUAAUUUCUUGUUUUUUUCACCUUAUUUUCGUUCCUUUUACAUGCCCAUUGCUUCUUUUUGAGUUUUUGAUUGUUCUUGAUUCAUUAAACACUUGUUUUUGUUACUGUUCCUUCUUUUCCUAUUUCAAGCUGAACUGCAUCUUUCUUGUUUCUUACAUCUAGAUUGUUUCUUUAUAUGUCAUUUGCAUCCGUUUGAAAUUUUCGCUUGUUUGUAGUCCUAAUUUUAUUGAAAGCGUGACUAUUUGUUUAAUUUUCUUGACUUUUGCGUUUUGCCUCAACUAAGCUUUUUAGAUCAUAAUUCUUGGUGCAUUGCAAGCAUAGUGAAAUAACUUGAUGUGUGGUUAUUGAUUCACAUAAGAAUCCUUGAAAACAAGCUGAGUGGUGUGAGUUCUCAGCCUUGUGUGAUCAUUCUUGAUUGUGCGAAACACGAGUGACCAUCCCCAUUAAUUGAGAGUAAACACGUGAGAGAGUGUUGGUGAGGUCCUUAAUUUCCUUCGAUUUUCUUUUAUUGCAUACUAACUCUUAUUGCAGCAUGUCAAGUGGUUCUAGUGGAGGUAAUAAUGUGUCAACUACCGGCAUACCCGCGGCACAAAUGCAUGAAAAUGAGAGGGUGCAACGAAGCAUAAGAAAUAUGAAUGAGCAAAUGGAGAGGUUUCAACUUGACAUAGCAGCCCAACGAAGGGAAAUGGCAACCAAUCAACAAGCCAUUAUGGACCAAAUUAAUGCAUUUGCCCGAGGUCUAGGAAAUAGGCUUAAUGAAGGGGGGAAUGUGCAAAGUAAUCAUGGGCAGCCAAUUGGGGUGAAUGAGGAUGACUUUGAUGAGGGUUUUGAGGAAUAUGAUAAUGCAGCCUAUGGUGGGGUUGGUAGAGGCAUGGGUAGAGGAGCUAGGAGAUACCAAAAUCUUGGUAGAGGUAGAUGACACUUUGGUGGUUAUGGGAACUAUAAUAAUGUUGAUAGGAACUUGGGUAGUAUCAAACUUAGGAUUCCUACCUUCUUGGGGAAAACUGAUCCGGAGGCAUAUUUGGAGUGGAAAAAGCGAGUUGACCUUAUCUUUGAUUGCCAUAACUUUUCAGAGGAGAAAAAGGUGAAAUUAGUGGUUACCCAAUUUAGUGACUAUACUAUAGUUUGGUGGGAUCAGUUGGUGGUUAGUAGGAGGAGGAACAUGGAAGAGCCUAUUAGUAGUUGGAUCGCACUCAAAACUAUCAUGAGAAUGCUUUUUGUACCUAGACAUUACCAUAGGGAGUUACAUUAAAGACUCUAAUCUUUGAGGCAAGGUACAAAGAGUGUUGAUGAUUAUUAUAAGGAGAUGGAAAUGCUCAUGACUAGGGCUGAUUUGGAUGAGGAUAGAAAAGCUACCAUGGCACGAUUCAUUAGUGGGCUUAAUAAGGAGAUUGCUGAUAGGGUAGAGUUGCAACAUUAUGUGGAGCUUGAGGAGUUAGUUCACCUUGCAAUUAAGGUGGAAAAGCAACUAAAACCUAGAGGGACAUCAAGGUUUGAAUAUAAGGGCACUUCGAGUGGGAGGCCACAUUGGUCUAAUUCUUGGAAAGGAGGUAAGAAAGGUGAUGAUAAGGUUAAUCCCAAUUACAACAAAGGGAAAAGCAUUUCAGGCAACAAAGACACAUCUAAACCUGAAAUUAACAAAGAAAAGAAUAGAGANNNUCAUGGGUAGCUUUCCUCUAUCCUCAUCCAAAUCAGCCCUAGUCAUGAGCAUUUCCAUCUCCUUAUAAUAAUCAUCAACACUCUUUGUACCUUGCCUCAAAGAUUAGAGUCUUUAAUGUAACUCCCUAUGGUAAUGUCUAGGUACAAAACGCAUUCUCAUGAUAGUUUUGAGUGCAAUCCAACUACUAAUAGGCUCUUCCAUAUUCCUCCUCCUAUUAACCACCAACUGAUCCCACCAAACUAUAGCAUAGUUACUAAAUUGGGUAACCACCAAUUUCACCUUUUUCUCCUCUGAAAAGUUAUGGCAAUCAAAGAUAAGGUCAACCCGCUUUUCCUACUCCAAAUAUGCCUCCGGAUCAGUUUUCCCCAAGAAGGUAGGAAUCCUAAGUUUGAUACUACCCAAGUUCCUAUCAACAUCAUUAUAGUUCCCAUAACCACCAAAGUGUCCUCUACCUCUACCAAGAUUUUGGUAUCUCCUAGCUCCUCUACCCAUGCCUCUACCAACCCCACCAUAGGUUGCAUUAUCAUAUUCCUCAAAACCCUCAUCAAAGUCAUCCUCAUUCGCCCCAAUUGGCUGCCCAUGAUUACCUUUGCACAUUCCCCCCUUCAUUAAGCCUAUUUCCCAGACUUCGGGCAAAUGCAUUAAUUUGGUCCAUAAUGGCUUGUUGAUUGGUUGUCAUUUCCCUUCGUUGGGCUGCCAUGUCAAGUUGAAACCUCUCCAUUUGCUCAUUCAUAUUUCUUAUGCUUUGUUACACCCUCUCAUUUUUAUGCAUUUGUGUUGCGGGUAAUGCCGGUAGUUGGCACAUUAUUACCUCCACUAGAACUACUUGACAUGCUGCAAUAAGAGUUAGUAUGCAAUAAAAAAAAUCGAAGGAAAUUAAGGACCUCACCAACACUCUCUCACGUGUUUACUCUCAAUUAAUGGGGAUGGUCACUCGUGUUUCGCACAAUCAAGAAUGAUCACACAAAGUUAAAAACUCACACCACUCAGCUUGUUUUCAAUGAUUCUUAUGUGAAUCAAUAACCACACAUCAAGUUAUUUCACUAUGCUUGCAAUGCACCAAGAAUUAUGAUCUAAAAAGCUUAGUUGAGGCAAAACGCAAAAGUCAAGAAAAUUAAACAAAUAGUCACGCUUUCAAUAAAAUUAGGACUACAAACAAGCGAAAACUUCAAACGGAUGCAAAUGACAUAUAAAAAAACAAUCUAGAUGUAAGAAACAAGAAAGAUGCAGUUCAGCUUGAAAUAGGAAAAGAAGGAACAGUAACAAAAACAAGUGUCUAAUGAAUCAAGAACAAUCAAAAACUCAAAAAGAAGCAAUGGGCAUGUAAAAGGAACGAAAAUAAGGUGAAAAAAAACAAGAAAUUAAGUUCAAGAACCAAGCAAUCAAGUUUCAACCCGAAUGGAAAUUUCUAACCAAACAGCAUUGGAAACAAGAUUUUAAAGCUCAAGAACGAAUUAAAACUUCAAUUUGAUGUAUAAGACAUGUAAGGAACAGAUUUAGGAAGCAAAAAUCACAAGGAAGGUUGAUCAAGAAAGAAGGUUACCUCUUUAUGCUUUAAAUGUGUCAAAUCUGCCCAAAAGACACACAAAGAAAAGAAUAAAUGAAGGAUAAAAACGAAUUUAGAGCUGAAUUAAUUCAAAUAAGAUGGUAUGUAUAGGGCUCAGGUCAUUGGAAUUUAAUGUCGCUUUGAAUCUUCCCAAACAGCCACCUAAUCCUUAUUUGUGUAGGAUUGUGAAAAUCUCCCUAAUUUCCUCUUAAUUUUAGGAAAUUUUUAAGACCACCUGUAAUAGAAACCUUUUAACAACCCUAAUAUCUAUAUAAACACAUCAAGAACAAUGAUUUCAACACCAAACACGUUUUUCCACUAACGAAGACAAUGACUUCAACAUUUACAUAACAUAUGAAGCCAAUGCUGGCAUAAACCGAGCCAGUGAACAAUGAAGAAAACCUGUUAGGAAAGAAAAUGAUGAAGAAACGCCUUUAGGAAUUUUGGAUUCUUUUCCUACCAAACCCAUUUGCAUACAGACACCUAUAUACAAGAAUACAAGUGAGCUCCACUUCAACACAGCCAGACGAUCCUAUGUUUUAAUUCAAAAUUAUAAGACUGCAAUUCUAUUUGUUGUUNNNN
rnacentral:lncRNA from 1 species